GACGAACGCUGGCGGCGUGCUUGACACAUGCAAGUCGAACGGUAAGGCCCUUCGGGGUACACGAGUGGCGAACGGGUGAGUAACACGUGGGUGAUCUGCCCUGCACUUCGGGAUAAGCCUGGGAGACUGGGUCUAAUACCGGAUAGGACCACUGCCUGCAUGGGUGGUGGUGGAAAGCUUUUGCGGUGUGGGAUGGGCCCGCGGCCUAUCAGCUUGUUGGUGGGGUGAUGGCCUGCCAAGGCGACGCCGGGUAGCCGGCCUGAGAGGGUGACCGGCCACACUGGGACUGAGAUACGGCCCAGACUCCUACGGGAGGCAGCAGUGGGGAAUAUUGCACAAUGGGCGCAAGCCUGAUGCAGCGACGCCGCGUGAGGGAUGACGGCCUUCGGGUUGUAAACCUCUUUCAGCACCGACGAAGCGCAAGUGACGGUAGGUGCAGAAGAAGGACCGGCCAACUACGUGCCAGCCGCCGCGGUAA
rnacentral:rRNA from 1 species